CGAGUAAGUCUUACAAGACCUGACGGUAUUAUAAGAGGGAGUUUUCCUGCCCAAUCUCUCUUUGCCUGCUGCCAUCCACAUAAGACAUGAUUUACUCCUCCUUGCCUUCUGCCAUGAUUUUGAGGCCUCCCCAGCCAUGUGGGACUACAGGGUCUCACUUUGUCACCCAGCCUGGAGUCUAGUAGUGUGAUGAUAGCUCACUGCAGCCUAGACCUGUCCAGGCUCAAGCAGUCCUCCCACCUCAGCCCCAUGGAGUAGAUGGGAUUACAGGUCCUUGGCCAGAACCUACUGAAGGCUCUCAAAAUAGGAGGUCCAUAGACACAGAGUCCCAUAUAACAUUACAUCAGACCAAGGUCAUGGGAUUAGCCAAUCAAUCACAUACUGUAACCCAGAAACUGUCUGCCUGUAAGAAUAAUGAAAUAGUCUCCUGCAGGUACAGAUGAAGACCAGUCUGGUGAUAAUAAUGUAAAGAAUGGGGCACCAUACUAUAUUCGAAACUAAUUAUCAUUGUAUGGUGUGAAUUCUCCAAUAUAUUUAAUGCAUGGGUCCAAGAACCAGAUAAACAUAGGAGUUAUUUCACUUGUCAUUAUAUCUCGUAACCCAUUGGAGGAAUCUGUGUGCACUAUCCCUGUAACUCUGAGAUUUGUGAGUUUAGAGAACCUGUUUCUCAGAAUAAGAAUGCUACUAUUAGGGGACAAAGAAAGAGUCCCAUUAAACUUUAAUCUAUGACUGUCAUCCAGUUACUUUGAGCUCCACUUGCCAACAGACCAGUGAUGAAGAAAGGAAUCACCAUUCUGGCAAGAGUCAUCGACUCUGAUCAUCAGGAGGUGAUAGAGCUGUAUUGCUCAGAGGAGUCAAGGAAAUAUAUGUGUUUUACUUAGUGAUCUGCUGAGUCAUUUGUUCCAACAAUAAAAGGAUGAGUGCAGCAA
rnacentral:lncRNA from 10 species